GUAUAGUGGAAGGUUCUGUUUUGUCAGUUCACUGACAGAGGUCCUAUAGGUGACACCGUGACAGUGUAGUUCAAGACUAGGAAGUGUUCGUGUAAACAAGUACUUGCAGAAAUGAAGAAAGGAUUUGGGAGGAUGGCUACAAGCUGUGUUUGUGUUCCAUCUUUUUGGAUUGUUAGAAACGCAUGAUGGACGAGGAAGCAAGACGCAAGCCUUGUUGGUCCGUCUAGGACUAGGUCUGCAAUUUCAAUGCGUUGGGACGAACCUUCACCAUUCAGCUUUCUAGACCUUCCUAAUUCCUGACCCAUAUCGUCUGUAAA